AACGAACGCUGGCGGCAUGCCUAACACAUGCAAGUCGAACGAGACCUUCGGGUCUAGUGGCGCACGGGUGCGUAACGCGUGGGAACCUGCCCUUAGGUUCGGAAUAACUCCCCGAAAGGGGUGCUAAUACCGGAUAAUGUCUUCGGACCAAAGAUUUAUCGCCUUUGGAUGGGCCCGCGUUGGAUUAGCUAGUUGGUAGGGUAAAAGCCUACCAAGGCGACGAUCCAUAGCUGGUCUGAGAGGAUGAUCAGCCACACUGGGACUGAGACACGGCCCAGACACCGAGGAGUGUCAGCAGUAGGGCAACUGCCGCAACGGGCGAAAGCGUGUGGGAGCAAAGCCGAGUGAGUGAGGAAGGUUUUCUGACCGGAAAACUCUGUUAUUGGGGAAGAAAAAAUGUCUAAGUAAAUAUGCACGCCUUGACGGGACAUAAUCAGAAAGCCACGGCUAACUACGUG
rnacentral:rRNA from 1 species